GCAUUUGUGGCCAAGCUGGUUAAGGCAUCAGACUUUUAAUCUGGGGAGCGCGGGUUCGACACCCGUCAAAUGCA